rnacentral:rRNA from 1 species
AAGCCAGACUCCUACGGGAGGCAGCAGUGGGGAAUGUUGCACAAUGGGGGAAACCCUGAUGCAGCGACGCCGCGUGAGUGAAGAAGUAUUUCGGUAUGUAAAGCUCUAUCAGCAGGGAAGAAAAUGACGGUACCUGACUAAGAAGCCCCGGCUAACUACGUGCCAGCAGCCGCGGUAAUACGUAGGGGGCAAGCGUUGUCCGGAUUUACUGGGUGUAAAGGGAGCGUAGACGGCAUGGCAAGUCAGAUGUGAAAGCCCGGGGCUCAACCCCGGGACUGCAUUUGAAACUGUCAGGCUGGAGUGCAGGAGAGGUAAGUGGAAUUCCUAGUGUAGCGGUGAAAUGCGUAGAUAUUAGGAGGAACACCAGUGGCGAAGGCGGCUUACUGGACUGUAACUGACGUUGAGGCUCGAAAGCGUGGGGAGCAAACAGGAUUAGAUACCCGAGUA